CAUUCUUAGGAGACAGAGGAGUCUUGGACCAUGUGCGUAAUACGAGCGUGGGACUGGACUGUGCAAUUCUUGGAUUGGGAAAGGGAGGAGUGGAAAUAACCCCGGCGGUGCCAGGUUUGCUGGUGGUCAGGAACAGAUGAUUCCAGCUCAGUGCUGAUCGCCUGCCUUCCUCCUGCCAUUUAGAAUGCGGCUGUCUCAUGUACAUACUGUUAAGGAUCCUGGAAAAGGGAGUGGUUCCUCCUAGCUGCAAACAAGGGCGCUACUUUUCUUUUCUCUUUUUAAUAGAAUUACGUUUUAUAGGUGUGUCUAGGCAACACAAGGGAAUGUGAAAGACUGUCAGAGGGAAUGUUUUUGAAUACAUUUGGUGUGUACUAAAAAGCUGGAAAACCCCUAAGUAAAUGCAGUAUCGAUAGAAAGCGAGUUUCUUGAAGAGUCACCUGCUAAACUCUACUAGAGUCAUCUCUACAAUAAUAAUAUCAACUGAACAUAAAAUAUUAAUGCCAUGGAUGAUCUUAGAAAUGAUUUCCUACAGAGUCCCAGCCUGUCCUGGGACAUUUCUUAUGUGUGCUUGGGAGAUUGCAAGAGGACAACUUGGCUCUAAAAUCGAUGCAUGAACAUGCCAUUGGAAUUGACCUCGCCAAAAGAUGCCUCCCUAAAUCCACAAGAACCUCCUUGUUUGAACACAGUUUCUAAUCCAGCUGUAAUGAAGACAGACAACAGUCAAAUUAACAAGUAA